rnacentral:rRNA from 1 species
UGGGGAAUUUUGGACAAUGGGCGCAAGCCUGAUCCAGCCAUGCCGCGUGUGGGAAGAAGGCCUUCGGGUUGUAAACCACUUUUGUCAGGGAAGAAACGGCCUGAUCUAAUACAUUGGGUUAAUGACGGUACCUGAAGAAUAAGCACCGGCUAACUACGUGCCAGCAGCCGCGGUAAUACGUAGGGUGCGAGCGUUAAUCGGAAUUACUGGGCGUAAAGCGUGCGCAGGCGGCUUUGCAAGACAGAUGUGAAAUCCCCGGGCUCAACCUGGGAACUGCAUUUGUGACUGCAAGGCUAGAGUACGGUAGAGGGGGAUGGAAUUCCGCGUGUAGCAGUGAAAUGCGUAGAUAUGCGGAGGAACACCGAUGGCGAGGGCAAUCCCCUGGACCUGUACUGACGCUCAUGCACGAAAGCGUGGGGAGCAAACAGGAUUAGAUACCCUCGUAGUCCCUGAGCGGGCUGGCAAGGCGCAU